rnacentral:rRNA from 1 species
UACAGAGGGUGCGAGCGUUAAUCGGAAUUACUGGGCGUAAAGCGCGCGUAGACGGUUUUGUAAGUCAGAUGUGAAAUCCCCGGGCUCAACCUGGGAACUGCAUUUGAAACUGCAUGGCUAGAGUAUCGAAGAGGGAAGUGGAAUUUCCGGUGUAGCGGUGAAAUGCGUAGAUAUCGGAAGGAACACCAGUGGCGAAGGCGGGUCUCUGGACAGUUCCUGACGCUGAGGCACGAAGGCCAGGGGAGCAAACAGG